rnacentral:rRNA from 1 species
AGGAUGAACGCUGGCGGUCUGCUUAACACAUGCAAGUCGAACGGAGUAGAAAUACUUAGUGGCGGACGGGUGAGUAACGCGUGAGAAUCUACCUUCAGGACGGAGACAACAGUUGGAAACGACUGCUAACCCCCGAUGUACUGAAAAGGCAAAUAUUUAUAGCCUGAAGAAGAGCUCGCGUCCGAUUAGCUAGUUGGAGAGGUAAAAGCUCACCAAGGCGACGAUCGGUAGCUGGUCUGAGAGGACGAGUCAGCCACACUGGGACUGAGACACGGCCCAGACUCCUACGGGAGGCAGCAGUGGGAAUUUCCGCAAUGGGCGAAAGCCUGACGGAGCAAGACCGCGUGGGGGAAGAAGGCUCUUGGGUUGUAAACCCCUUUUCUCUGGGAAGAACGCAAUGACGGUACCAGAGGAAUCAGCAUCGGCUAACUCCGUGCCAGCAGCCGC